ACCCCUUUAAAAGCACUCAGUAGGCCUUUUGCUAGUGACCUACUGAGCCGUCAAGAAGGGACAGAGUAAAAACAUCACUUUUGGGUGAAGUGGCAACAUGUGUUGUUUGCUUCAAUCAGGGUUGUGACAAGA